rnacentral:rRNA from 1 species
CCCUUAGAUGUUCGGGGCUGCACAUGCGCUACACUGAAGGAAUCAACGUGUAUUUGCCCUUGCCCGAAAGGGUUGGGUAACCCGUUGAACCUCCUUCGUGCUAGGGAUUGGGGCUUGUAAUUAUUCCCCAUGAACGAGGAAUUCCCAGUAAGCGCGAGUCAUAAGCUCGCGUUGAUUACGUCCCUGCCCUUUGUACACACCGCCCGUCGCUACUACCGAUUGAAUGGUUUAGUGAGAUCCUCGGAUUGGUCUCGCCACGGGAGGAAACUUUCGAGGCGGAGUGCCGAGAAGACGAUCAAACUUGAUCAUUUAGAGGAAGUAAAAGUCGUAACA